rnacentral:lncRNA from 1 species
CUCCUAAGCAUGUGUUUACCAAAGGCCUUAUUUUGGUGGAGUUAGUGCCUACAAAAAGACGCCAUUACUAUUUCUCUCACUUGUGGUAUUACAGAAAACACGCACUUUGUGUGCCACAUAGAGAUGGAGGACACAUCUUUAUAACUAUGCAUUAUAGUGGCUGUGACAACAUGGGCAGCGCCAUUGAGGGUACAACCCAUAGGAAUUCCCACCCAGUUUCCUACUUUAAAAUGGUGGAUGAUGGCAAUGUCCAAUAGCAAUGGUCAUGCUAAAAUGGGUUAUAUCCAUGAUGAGUCCUCGAUGUAUCUUUAUGGUGUGACUUGUAACUAGUGGCGACCGCAUGCAGUAAAGUGGACAUUCGUGCCUAUGGAAAACUCGAGAUUGCCACGGCGAGAUAAAGUGGAUUAAUUUGCUAUUUAUUUGCAGCGUCAACAGGUGUCUCCAGGUGCGAUGUCCAAGCGUCAACAGGUGUCUCCAGGUGCGAUGUCCAAGAGUACAUCUUCAAAUAACUUUUGUAUCAUAUUGUUGAUACUGUUAACACAAAUUCCCUGCAUCUUACAAGGCCUUGACAUGCAUUUGGCUAUGCCAUCUUUUGAAGUAUCUUGCAGAAAUGAAAAAGAAGACAUCUGCAAUUCCAUCACAUCCUGUGGAUGGAAUGGUUUCCUGAAACAAGUGCAAAUUAUUUGCUCUAAAGUUGAGAACGAUGAACGUGAUACCUUCAGGCGUUUUGAAAUUGCUCCCAAGGAUGAACCAGAUUUCUGGAGGUCUACAAUUUUUUUUUUCCUGAGGUCUUGGCUGAUUUCUUUUGAUUUUCCCAAGAUGUCAAGCAAAGAGGCACUGAGUUUGAAGCAGUGUCGACACAGCGCACAGUACAAUCAAAUGUGUCAGCAGUGAAAGUGGAUGAACCCAGAAAUGAAACAUCUGGAAACGACGCAAUUUCCAACUGGUCGUGGAUUUUCCCUUGCAUUUGCAUUGCCAUUAUUAUCAUUGGAUUUUUCAUUGGAUUUUACAUUGGAUUUUGUAUUGAUUGUACUUGUCUGGAGCGAAAAGGGUGGUGUCGCCGUGGUAAAAGGUACAUUGCAGUACCUGUAGAAGUGGGCCUAAUCUAAAGUCUUAUGUAACAUCCAGCACGCAGACAAGCCAACUGUAACUGAGUUUAACAGAGUCUAUUUGUUUUGUUUAUUUAUUUUGUAUUUUGGGUGCAUUAUUUUUGUCUGAGCUGGGGUUGAGUGAUUGGGAUGGUUGAGUCAACUUUCACUAACUCUGAUCAGGCCAUUAAUUGUUUUCUUUCCCUGUUUAACUCUGUUGCAGAUAAAACAUUUGCAUACAAAAAAGUAAGAGUAAAAGCCCGACGUUAUCAUUGGUAUAUUCAUGGGGUGGCGGGUAGCCUAGUGGUUAGAGCGUUGGACUAGUAAAUGAAAGGUUGCAAGAUCGAAUCCCCGAGCUGACAAGAUGAAAAUCUGUCGUUCUGCCCAUGAACAAGGCAGUUAACCCACUCUUCCUAGGCUGUCAUUGAAAAUAAGAAUUUGUUCUUAAAACCUCUAUGGGCUAGGUGGGACGCUUGCGUCCCAGCCACUUUAAGCCUGUGGCGCGAUUUUCAAAACCUUAAAAAUCCUAUUACUUCAAUUUCUCAAACAUAUGACUAUUUUACAGCUAUUUAAAGACAAGACUCUCGUUAAUCUAAC